rnacentral:piRNA from 1 species
UAAGCGGAAACCUGUGUACUACUAUGCC